rnacentral:misc_RNA from 4 species
AGCAGCCGCGGUAAUUCCAGCUCCAAUAGCGUAUAUUAAAGUUGUUGCAGUUAAAAAGCUCGUAGUUGAAUUUCGGGAUUGGCGCAUCGGUCGUGCCUCACGGGGUAUGAACUGGUGCAGUCAAUUUCUCACCUUCUGGAGAACCGCGAUGUCCUUAAUUGGAUGCCGCGGGGAACCAGGACCUUUACUUUGAAAAAAUUAGAGUGUUUAAAGCAGGCAUUUUUGCUUGAAUACAUUAGCAUGGAAUAAUAAAAUAGGACGGCAUGGUUCUAUUUUGUUGGUUUCUAGGACCACCGUAAUGAUUAAUAGGGAUAGUUGGGGGCAUUAGUAUUCAAUUGUCAGAGGUGAAAUUCUUGGAUUUAUUGAAGACUAACUACUGCGAAAGCAUUUGCCAAGGAUGUUUUCAUUAAUCAAGAACGAAAGUUAGGGGAUCGAAGACGAUCAGAUACCGUCGUAGUCUUAACCAUAAACUAUGCCGACUAGGAAUCAGACGAUGUUAAUUUUUUUAAUGACUCGUUUG